UUGUUUUUUUCAACCAAGACAGUCUGUUGAGCUUUUAAGAAUAAAACGAUGUGAGCAAACACUGGUUGGUUCACGUGAAGGGAGUACCUAACCCUGGUGGAUGCUGCAAAGCCGUUCGCUGUGUAAAAAUCCCAAGUCAGUUCAGAUGUUGCUGCUUCAUCCUUUCGCAGGCCUAUGGAAAUGCAGGAUUUAGCCAGCCCACAUAGCCGUCUGAGUGCUGGCAGUGAGUCUCCUAAUGGUCCAAAACUUGAUAAUUCUCACCUAAAUAAUAAUUCCAUGACACCCAAUGGCACAGAAGGUGACAUGACUCUGCUCAACACUG